rnacentral:rRNA from 1 species
GCUUGCACCUUAUCUUAGCGGCGGACGGGUGAGUAAUGCUUAGGAAUCUGCCUAUUAGUGGGGGACAACAUUCCGAAAGGGAUGCUAAUACCGCAUACGUCCUACGGGAGAAAGCAGGGGAUCUUCGGACCUUGCGCUAAUAGAUGAGCCUAAGUCGGAUUAGCUAGUUGGUGGGGUAAAGGCCUACCAAGGCGACGAUCUGUAGCGGGUCUGAGAGGAUGAUCCGCCACACUGGGACUGAGACACGGCCCAGACUCCUACGGGAGGCAGCAGUGGGGAAUAUUGGACAAUGGGGGGAACCCUGAUCCAGCCAUGCCGCGUGUGUGAAGAAGGCCUUAUGGUUGUAAAGCACUUUAAGCGAGGAGGAGGCUACUGAGACUAAUACUCUUGGAUAGUGGACGUUACUCGCAGAAUAAGCACCGGCUAACUCUGUGCCAGCAGCCGCGGUAAUACAGAGGGUGCGAGCGUUAAUCGGAUUUACUGGGCGUAAAGCGUGCGUAGGCGGCUUUUUAAGUCGGAUGUGAAAUCCCCGAGCUUAACUUGGGAAUUGCAUUCGAUACUGGGAAGCUAGAGUAUGGGAGAGGAUGGUAGAAUUCCAGGUGUAGCGGUGAAAUGCGUAGAGAUCUGGAGGAGUACCGAUGGCGAAGGCAGCCAUCUGGCCUAAUACUGACGCUGAGGUACGAAAGCAUGGGGAGCAAACAGGAUUAGAUACCCUGGUAGUCCAUGCCGUAAACGAUGUCUACUAGCCGUUGGGGCCUUUGAGGCUUUAGUGGCGCAGCUAACGCGAUAAGUAGACCGCCUGGGGAGUACGGUCGCAAGACUAAAACUCAAAUGAAUUGACGGGGGCCCGCACAAGCGGUGGAGCAUGUGGU